rnacentral:sRNA from 1 species
GAAAUCUGCGUUUUGAUUAUGUUCCUGGAAACAAUAACUUUCUUUCAAGAUCUGAGGAAGAGGAAGACUCUCUGGAACAGUGGAAAGAACUUGUCCUUGUCCUGGGAAUCAAAAGAUGUGAAUCUUGAUUUCUACUAAAGAUGACCCUAGGAUUUCAUGAUGUGCUGGGCAAUGAAAGACCUUCUGCUUACAUGAGGGAGCACAAUCAAUUAAAUGGCUGGUCUUCUGAUGAAAAUGACUGGAAUGAAAAACUCUACCCAGUGUGGAAGCGGGGAGACAUGAGGUGGAAAAACUCCUGGAAGGGAGGCCGUGUGCAGGCGGUCCUGACCAGUGACUCACCAGCCCUCGUGGGCUCAAAUAUAACAUUUGCGGUGAACCUGAUAUUCCCUAGAUGCCAAAAGGAAGAUGCCAAUGGCAACAUAGUCUAUGAGAAGAACUGCAGAAAUG